AGUGAACGCUGGCGGUAGGCCUAACACAUGCAAGUCGAACGGCAGCACUGGAGAGCUUGCUCUCUGGGUGGCGAGUGGCGGACGGGUGAGGAAUACAUCGGAAUCUACUCUGUCGUGGGGGAUAACGUAGGGAAACUUACGCUAAUACCGUAUACGACCUACGGGUGACAGCAGGGGAUCUUCGAACCUCGCGCGAGUGAAUGAGCCGAUGUCGGAGUAGCUAGUUGGCGGGGUAAAGGCCCACCAAGGCGCCGAUCCGUAGCUGGUCUGAGAGGAUGAUCAGCCACACUGGAACUGAGACACGGUCCAGACUCCUACGGGAGGCAGCAGUGGGGAAUAUUGGACAAUGGGCGCAAGCCUGAUCCAGCCAUACCGCGUGGGUGAAGAAGGCCUUCGGGUUGUAAAGCCCUUUUGUUGGGAAAGAAAUCCAGCGGGCUAAUACCCGGUUGGGAUGACGGUACCCAGAGAAUAAGCACCGGCUAACUUCGUGCCAGCCGCCGCAGUAA
rnacentral:rRNA from 1 species